AGGACAUCCAGAUCCAGAUCUCCAUCCCUUUCUGGAGCUUGUUUGUGGAUCUCUCAUUCAAGCAGCUGCCCAAAUUACAGGACAACCCAACCUCAACCCAGCACAGAGAAAAAGGUGUGAUUUUAUUUUUUUUCUCCAGACUGCAGCCUAGAACAUUGCAGUCCACAGGUCCUGACGAAAUACGUCCUGGAAUACUAAAGGAGCUGACUGAGGAGCUACCUGAGCCAUGAGCAAUUAUCGUCAAAAACUCAUGAAGAUGGAAGAAUUCCAGAGGAGUGGGAGAGGGUAAAUAUAGUGCAGCCUGGGGAAUUACAGAUCAGUCAGCGUAACUUCAGUAUCCAGAAAGAAAAUGGAGCAAAUAAUCAAACCACCAAUUUGCAAACAUCUAGAAGAUAAUAAAG